rnacentral:rRNA from 1 species
UACGAAGGGGGCGAGCGUUGUUCGGAUUUACUGGGCGUAAAGGGCGCGCAGGCGGCUCAUUUUGUCAGGCGUGAAAUCCCCGGGCUUAACCUGGGAACUGCGCUUGAGACGGGUGAGCUAGAGAUCGGGAGAGGAGAGUGGAAUUCCCAGUGUAGAGGUGAAAUGCGUAGAUAUUGGGAAGAACACCGGUGGCGAAGGCGGGCCUCUGGACCGAUACUGACGCUGAGGCGCGAAAGCGUGGGGAGCAAACAGG